rnacentral:rRNA from 6 species
UCGGCAACGGAUAUCUCGGCUCUCGCAUCGAUGAAGAACGUAGCGAAAUGCGAUACUUGGUGUGAAUUGCAGAAUCCCGUGAACCAUCGAGUCUUUGAACGCAAGUUGCGCCCGAAGCCAUCCGGCCGAGGGCACGUCUGCCUGGGCGUCACACACCGU